rnacentral:rRNA from 1 species
AGAUCGGAUUAGCUAGUUGGUGGGGUAAUGGCUCACCAAGGCGACGAUCCGUAACUGGUCUGAGAGGAUGAUCAGUCACACUGGAACUGAGACACGGUCCAGACUCCUACGGGAGGCAGCAGUGGGGAAUAUUGCACAAUGGGCG